GCCCAAGAGAUCGGGAUAACACCUGGAAACAGAUGCUAAUACCGGAUAACAACGGAUGAUGCCUAUCAACUGUUUAAAAGAUGGUUCUGCUAUCACUCUUGGAUGGACCUGCGGUGCAUUAGCUAGUUGGUAGGGUAACGGCCUACCAAGGCGAUGAUGCAUAGCCGAGUUGAGAGACUGAUCGGCCACAUUGGGACUGAGACACGGCCCAAACUCCUACGGGAGGCAGCAGCG
rnacentral:rRNA from 1 species